ACUCUGUGGCAACAGCAUCCGGGCCACUACUAGUCGAAGUUGCCAAAACUCCUGGUGCCAGCCUUGGGGUUGCCCUAACUACCUCGAUGUGCUGUAACAAACAAGUCAUUGUCAUAGACAAAAUCAAAUCUGCAAGUAUUGCAGACAGUGAAAAUUCAGAGGAGCGACAGGCAACUUACCUGGGAUUCCUGGGCCAGCAACCACAGCAGCCUUCACACCAACCAUCACUAUAACACGUACCACCCUGACCAUUGCAGAGUACCAGCCCUGACAUUCCCGAAAGCACCUCCUCCAAACAGCCCUCCAGCUUUGGUGUCUUCAUCCUUCUCUCCUACCUCCAUGAGUGCAUACAGCCUGAGUUCCCUGAACAUGGGGACUCUACCUCGAAGCCUCUACUCCACCAGCCCACGUGGAACCAUGAUGAGGAGGAGACUGAAAAAGAAAGACUUCAAAAGCUCAUUGUCCUUAGCCUCCAGCACAGUAGGAUUGGCUGGGCAGGUUGUUCACACAGAAACCACAGAGGUUGUGCUGACGGCAGAUCCUGUCACAGGAUUUGGGAUCCAACUGCAGGGC
rnacentral:lncRNA from 1 species